rnacentral:piRNA from 1 species
GAGAAAUGCAGUGGACAAACUGGCUUUC